rnacentral:rRNA from 1 species
AUGGAUUGUACUCUUAAAAUUGUCUUCUGGAAUGUCCGCGGGUUAAACUGCCAGGCCAAACGUACCGCGGUCCGCUCCGUCAUUGCGUCGGUCUCUCCCAACAUUGUGUGCCUCCAAGAAACCAAGUUGGAUUCUUUCUCGUUGUCAAUUGUCAUCGAGACCCUUGGUCCCUGCUUUGAGGACUUCUUCCUCCCUACGAUUGGCACGCGCGGUGGCAUUCUCCUAGCUUGGAAUCGCAACGAAGUCUCCAUCUCUAGCCCCUACAUCAGUCAACACCACAUCACGACCCUCGUUUCGACCACAUUUGGAGAGCAUCCAUGGUGGAUCUUUGGCGUCUACGGGCCACAGGAGGAUGAUGAGAAGAUCCUUUUCCUGCAAGACCUCCAGGAAACUCGCGACACUUGUGCUGGCCCCUGGCUCCUGGGCGUCGAUUUCAACCUCGUCUCCUAA